CCUACGGGAGGCAGCAGUGAGGAAUAUUGGUCAAUGGACGAGAGUCUGAACCAGCCAAGUAGCGUGAAGGAUGACUGCCCUAUGGGUUGUAAGCUUCUUUUAUAUGGGAAUAAAAUGUUCCACGUGUGGGAUUUUGUAUGUACCAUAUGAAUAAGGAUCGGCUAACUCCGUUCCAGCAGCCGCGGUAAUACGGAGGAUCCGAGCGUUAUCCGGAUUUAUUGGGUUUAAGGGGAGCGUAGGCGGCUUGUUAAGUCAGUUGUGAAAGGUUGCGGCUCAACCGGAAAAUUGCAGUGGAACAUGGCAGUCUUGAGUACAGUAGAGGUGGGGGGAAUUCGUGGUGUACGGGUGAAAUGCU
rnacentral:rRNA from 1 species